UACGUAGGGUGCAAGCGUUGUCCGGAAUUAUUGGGCGUAAAGAGCUCGUAGGCGGUUUGUUGCGUCGGCUGUGAAAUCCCGAGGCUCAACCUCGGGUCUGCAGUCGAUACGAGCAAACUAGAGUGUUGCAGGGGAGACUGGGAAUUCCUGGUGUAGCGGUGAAAUGCGCAGAUAUCAGGAGGAACACCGGUGGCGAAGGCGGGUCUCUGGGCAACAACUGACGCUGAGGAGCGAAAGCGUGGGGAGCGAACAGG
rnacentral:rRNA from 1 species